UACGUAGGGUGCAAGCGUUAAUCGGAAUUACUGGGCGUAAAGCGUGCGCAGGCGGCUAUGCAAGACAGAUGUGAAAUCCCCGGGCUUAACCUGGGAACUGCAUUUGUGACUGGCGGGCUAGAGUAUGGCAGAGGGGGGUAGAAUUCCACGUGUAGCAGUGAAAUGCGUAGAGAUGUGGAGGAAUACCGAUGGCGAAGGCAGCCCCCUGGGCCAAUACUGACGCUCAUGCACGAAAGCGUGGGGAGCAAACAGG
rnacentral:rRNA from 1 species